AGAAUCAACGCUGGCGGCGUGCCUAACACAUGCAAGUCGAACGCGAAAGUCCCGCAAGGGAUAAGUAGAGUGGCAAACGGGUGAGUAACGCGUGGGCGACCUACCUUCGAGUGGGGGAUAACCUUCCGAAAGGAGGGCUAAUACCGCAUGACAUCCCGUGUUUAGAUACACGGACAUCAAAGCCGGGGAUCGUAAGACCUGGCGCUUGAAGAGGGGCCUGCGUCCGAUUAGCUAGUUGGUGGGGUAACGGCUCGACCAAGGCUUCGAUCGGUA
rnacentral:rRNA from 1 species